rnacentral:sRNA from 1 species
GCCGGGCGUGAUGGCAUACGCCUAUAAUCCCAGCAGCUUGGGAGGCUGAAGCAGGAGGAUCAUGAGUUCAAAGCCAGCCUCAGCAAUGGUGAGGUGCUAUUGGUGAGACCCUAUAUCUA